rnacentral:rRNA from 1 species
AGUGAUUCAUGACUGGGGUGAAGUCGUAACAAGGUAGCCCUAGGGGAACCUGGGGCUGGAUCACCUCCUUAACGA